CAAUAGCGUAUAUUUAAGUUGUUGCAGUUAAAAAGCUCGUAGUUGGAUUUCGGAUGGGAUUUGCCGGUCCGUCGUUACGAUGUGCACUGGCCAGUCCUAUCUUGUUGUCGGGGACUAGCUCCUUGGAUUCACUUCCUGGGACUAGGAGCUGACGAGGUUACUUUGAGUAAAUUAGAGUGUUCAAAGCAAGCCUACGCUCUGAAUACAUUAGCAUGGAAUAACACGAUAGGACUCUGGCUUAUCUUGUUGGUCUGUGAGACCAGAGUAAUGAUUAAGAGGGACAGUCGGGGACAUUCGUAUUUCAUUGUCAGAGGUGAAAUUCUUGGAUUUAUGAAAGACGAACUUCUGCGAAAGCAUUUGUCAAGGACGUUUUCAUUAA
rnacentral:rRNA from 1 species